UCUGGCUGUAUACAGGUUCACAGGAGUGAGCCUGAAACAACCCAAGGAUGUCAAAGAUAAAAAGAACAGAGAUCUUACAGUCAGUCACGGAACAUGAGAUGCAGCAAGGAGAGAAAGCACAAGAGAAAAGAUGCUAAAAAGAGUCCCUUCAGAAGUAACCAAGCUUCAGGACCUGGGUCUGUGAGCAUGGAACAGAGAUGCCAACUAUUUGUGGACUUGCAAAUCCAGUUUUGGGAAUGAGAGCCAGUCGUGCCUGACUCUGCUGGGUGGCUGUGGUGGCCUACCCGGGAUCAACUGGACUCAACCUGGGCUCUUGGGCGGUUCCAGAGAGCAGGUAAGGAGCUAGGGUCAUCUGGGAACGAGAGCGUCAAGUGAGAAGAUGCUUUCGUCAGACCGGCCUGCGGGCAAGUCUUUGGGUGUUCUGUUAAUUCAUGAUUGAUGUGGGAAGACCCAGCCUGUCAUGGGUGGAGCCACUCCUGUGCAGGUGGUUCCAGGUUAUAUAGAAAGCCAUCUGGAAAGGCCAUGGGGCUCAAGGGUAGCCGUAUUCCUCCUUGGUUUUGCUUCAGGUCCUUCCUCCAGGUUCCUGCCCCGUGUUACUUCCAUGAUGGGCUGUGGUUGGGAUGCGUUAGCCAACAGACCUUUUCCUUUACAAGAUGCUUUUGGUCAGUGUUUUAUCACAAACACCAAGCUGUGGCAGUUACUGGAGGAGGAAUUUGGCAUCAGUCAAAUUCCUUAGUCUGAUGUAUCCGAUAAGAUUUUUUAAAUUUUUUAAUCUUUUGACUGGCUUAUUUCACUUAAUGUCUUCAAGGUCUAUUCACAUUGUAUCAUGAUUUUCUUCACUUUUGAUGCUGAAUAAUAUUCUAUUGUAUGUGUGUGCUGCAUUUUUAAAUACACUUAUCCAAUGCUGAUGAAUAUCAGUGGCUUUUCUCUUUUAGGUGUUGUAAAUAGUGCUUCUGUGAAGAAGGCUGUGCAGCAUCGUUUGAGGAUACAUCUUCAGUUCCUUUAGAAUCUGGAUGACUUUCUUUGCAUCACCACUGGAAAUUCGUUGUGUGAGUGAGGCACUCCUGUCAGCGGGGCUGGCUAACCAGGGGCCCAAACAACAACUCCUUGGAAGCUCCAAAUGAGGACAAAUCACUCCAUGUGUCUCUGGCUUCCCAGCGCCCCCUGGGCUUCCCUGGAGACCUUUCUUGCUCGUGGCCACCCAGGAGUUUUGCCUGUAGAGGAGUUUAUCCAUCCAUGUUACUUUUACUUUGG